rnacentral:rRNA from 1 species
UCCUACGGGAGGCAGCAGUGGGGGAUAUUGCACAAUGGGGGGAACCCUGAUGCAGCGACGCCGCGUGGGUGAAGGAGUAUUUCGGUAUGUAAAGCCCUAUCGGCAGGGAAGAGGCAAGACGGUACCUGACUAAGAAGCCCCGGCUAACUACGUGCCAGCAGCCGCGGUAAUACGUAGGGGGCGAGCGUUAUCCGGAUUCACUGGGUGUAAAGGGAGCGUAGACGGCCAUGCAAGCCAGGGGUGAAAGCCCGGGGCCCAACCCCGGGACUGCCCUUGGAACUGCAUGGCUGGAGUGCGGGGGGGGG